UGUAACUGUAGGAUGCACCAAGCACAGAAGGGAGCAGCCAGUGCCAGGCAGCGGCCAGGAGAGCCCUGGGGACUUUGUCGGGAGGCACUGGAGGACCUGGCAUCUGUGAGCAGAGCUGACGUCAUAGGACAGUCUGCUGAGCGGGCAGGGAGAGCCCCAGCUCCUGAGAUGGCUUGAGAAGAUGCUACUGUCAAUUCCAGGCCAGCGAUGCCCAAAGCUAAGUGCUGGAAUUAGGUGCUCACCUGCUUCCACAUGAAGCAAGACUUCCAUCCUUUGUUAAGAAGCCCCGAAUCUCUGAGAGUCCUUGGAUCCUGGUACGUAGCCAUUUUUCAAAUUCCCUCCUGAAAGCACCUGGCUGAGCUGCAGGGAGAUUCAGGUGGCAGGAAAUAAACAUCAAGAUAUCAAGGAUCAGCCUAAUGAUGGAUUUCUGUCGCAGUGCCCCCGGACCAUCAUGUGCCAAUGAUCCCACGUGACUGGAUAUGGCGGGCAGCGUGCAUUGGCCUCCUCCAGGGUUGGGCACAGAGAGCCCCACCCCACGCCAAAAGGAAUGUUGGGGUGAGGCUGGGGUGGGGGUGGGAAGCUACUCACUGUCCCAGGCCCAGAGCCACUCACAGUGAAAACCGAGCUUAGUUGAUCAACAAAAAUACAUGUGAAGCAGCCGAGAGGAUGUAUUGGUUUCUUUUUCUGGUAAUUUCAACAAAACAUAGUUCUUUACCACAGUCCCACAGUUUUCUGCCGGUCCCUUUGUUAUACCUCUUGUCAUGACCUACACUAACUUUUCUCUUUGACUUGGACAGUUAUCCGGUGGGCUUAAUUGUCUCUGCCAAGAACUAUGGUCAAUCACUUGCUUGAAAACCACUUACUGAUUAUUCUGUGACAUCUUUGAG